CAUCUAUUGGCUAUUGCUACUCCUUGCUAUCUCUUGGCCGCAGUACAAAGGCCAAGGGAUUAGGUGUGCCCUCUGUGUCAGACUGUCAACAGUGGGUUGGGCGGGUGGAUAUAGGUGAUGGUUUAUCCUUUUUGACUUUGUGUCAUCUGAUUAAUAACCGGUUAAGAAAGACACAGUUUCAAAAAAAAAAGAUUAAGAAAGACACAAACAGGAAAUGGGCAAGCAAUUGCUUCCAAAGAAAAGGAGAGAAGAGAAAAUGGUCACGGUCAAGCACGGGCAGCGAGACGGAUGUUCUUCAUAUUUUUCCCCCCUUCUCUUCAAAUGGAAGUCACAACACAAGCCUUGUGGUGCGUGCCUGAACCUCAAGUCUGCAGAUUUGACCACUGCAGCCGUGGAGCAGAGCGGCCUGAAUUCUUCUUCUGAAGUUCCACCGCAAAUUAAUCCAGGAGAGUGUGAGACUGACUGACACACAUGCACAGGGAUCACGCCAGGUAUAUAAACGCGCAGGCGGCCGGCCGGCCCACCCACCGGCGACGGCGAUCCGAG
rnacentral:misc_RNA from 1 species